AUUCAGUUGAUGCAAGGCGGGAUC
rnacentral:miRNA from 1 species